UUUUUUUCUCUUAGAGGCAAGUGUAGACCAGCAUUCUUUAGCACUGGAAGCUUUUCUUACAUUUCUGAACCCUAACUCCAAGCGCUGACACUUAAAGGCAUGCAUUACCAUGUCCAGAUUAUUUAUGGUAAACACAAGUUUUGGAAUGAAUGAAUGAAUGAAUAUUUAUUUGAGACAAGGGUCUUAUGCUGACAUGCUGACUAAGCUGGCCUCCAACACUGUGACUCUGAGUUCCUGAUUCUGCCCCAACCUCCCCACUAUGCUCGGAUUACAGGAAUGUGCCCAGUUGGCUCAGGUUUUGCUUUUAAAGCAGGUUUCUUCCCCCCCCCCCCUUUUCUCCCACGGUCCCAUCUCAGGUGCUUCUCUGGUUGCAUACAGCAAGUGUAAAUUUGACGGAAAGGAAACACUACACGUUUUCUAAGAUCAGACAGCCCUUAAAGUGUAUAUGGUUUAAAAAAAAAAAGUUCAGAGCGUAGGUGGUUGGGAUUCAACUUUACCCAGUUUAUGGUUUCUAAAAGGCCCUCGUGCCAUUCUGGGCCAGCAGGCUCGCGCUGAGCCCACCUGCCUCUUCUGUGGCCUGCCAUUGGCCCGGACGAUGUUCACGUCUCUUCCGCGCACGAGGAGCCUCGCACACGGGACGCCACGGACCUAACAGCCGCCGAGCACGCAGUCUGGCCGCCAGUCUGGGUCGCAUCCAACAGUCGCCGCAGGGGCAGGUCAACGCAGCGCGAGGGUCUGGGAUGCUGUGGGGCUGAGGGUCGUGGUCCUCCCCAGGGUUCGGAAGAUAGGUGGGAAAAUGUCUUCAGGGCAUGCGCCACAGCGGCCGUUAAAUGACCCAAAACCGACACCUUGGAGGCGGCAGCCGGGAGGCAUGGGGCCGGAGCAUGGCCGGGCUUCGCACGCCCAGCGAGGACCCUGAGGGCGCAGAGCGCAGGCGCGAGGCGCAGGGCCAGCCAGCUGCCAGGUGCGGCCAGCCAGGCAUCUCGUGUGAAAAGGAAUUACUUGGCAUUUACAGCUGAGUUGCCGCUGAUUCUGAUCCAGAGCCCAGAGGAUAAAUCUGCAUUAUUCUUAUUUUUUUGUCACAAUAGAAGCCGGAAACAAAAUGGAAAUGGCAGAAAGCAUACCGUGCAAUAGUGUGGUUGGUGGCAAUUUUAAAGAAGUUAGUCCAGAGAAGGUAAUUCGGUUCAAACCACCAUUAUACAAACAACGGUAUCAGUUUGUUAGAGAUUUAGUGGAUCGCCAUGAACCCAAGAAGGUUGCCGACCUGGGAUGUGGAGAUGCCAAGCUCCUAAAGCUGCUAAAAAUCUACCCAUGCAUUCAACUGCUUGUUGGGGUGGAUAUCAAUGAAGAAAAAUUGCAUUCAAAUGGGCAUCGCUUGUCUCCCUAUUUGGGGGAGUUUGUAAAACCCCGAGAUCUAGAUUUGACUGUCACCUUGUAUCAUGGCUCUGUUGUGGAGAGAGACUCCCGCUUGCUUGGAUUCGAUUUGAUAACAUGCAUUGAAUUAAUAGAACACUUGGAUUCAGAUGAUCUGGCCAGAUUUCCUGAUGUGGUUUUUGGAUACCUGUCACCAGCCAUGGUUGUCAUCAGCACCCCAAAUGCUGAAUUCAACCCCCUGUUUCCUACAGUCACCCUGAGGGACGCCGACCAUAAAUUUGAGUGGAGCAGAAUGGAGUUUCAGACCUGGGCUUUACACGUGGCAAACUGCUACAAUUACCGUGUGGAGUUUACUGGGGUAGGGACACCGCCAGCUGGAUCUGAGCAUGUUGGAUAUUGUACCCAGAUAGGUGUCUUUACAAAGAAUGGCGGGAAGCUCUCUAAACCUUCGGUUUCCCAGCAGUGUGACCAGCACGUUUAUAAACCUGUUUAUACAACCUCCUACCCGAGUUUACAGCAGGAGAAGGUGCUCAAGUUUGUUCUGGUUGGGGAACUCCUGAUACAAGUGGACCGACUGAGGCUGAGAUACCAGAGAAUGCUGCGGGACCGGGAGAAGGACCGGGGCCCUAAGCCAGGGGACAUGGACUCCUGCCCAGCCCCACACCUACUGUUGGGAGCAGUCUUCACGGAGGCUGAAAAGGCCAGGAUAGAAAGUUCUCCCAAACCCUUCUGUGAAGGAGAGAAGUUUUACAUACCCCUGCAGAGACUGCUCACUUACCCCAAACUGCACCGCCUGUGUGCUGAUGAGGACAGGGUGCGGUCCCUCAUUGCUGACUCGGUUUGCUUAAGCAGUGAUGGCUCCGCAGUCGUGGUUGACCUGCAUAAUUCUUGGGAUUAUCGGCCGGAAGAGAACUGAGCCACCCGGAUUUCUUGAAGCUCAGAGACCCACUGAUAGUUGGGUUUGCUUAGAAUUCAAACUUCUUUCAUUUUAGUGGUGCCAGGACUCGAACCCUUGCACAUGCUAAGCAAGCACUCUACCACUCAGCUACAUCCUCAGCCCUAGAAUUUAAACUCUGUACAGUCAUAAUUCAAGAAAUAGUUUGAGAGUUUUAACACAAAUUGGGUCCUGAUCUCGAUGACAGAUCUGCCUGACAUAUAGACUGCUCUUUGCCUGAGAAAGGGCUUAACUAAAAGUAGUUGCUUUCUUUUAAAAUUAGAUUUUUAUUUUUUAAAAAAAUUGGAGUUUACAACAAUGAAGAAAUUGGAUGUGGUAAUGUGUUAAUUUUGUCUUCACCCAUAUUUUGGUGUUAGAACAAGCGUAUGUUGUAUGUGACAUUAAAACAUUUAAAUGUAAUCAAAGCCACUUGAGAACCUUUCCCAGGGCUGGGCACGGAGGCUCACACCUGUAAUCCUAGCACACGGAUAGAUGUGACAUGAGGAUUAUGGGUUUGAAGCCAGCCUGGGCUACAUGGUAAGACCCUAUCUCAAAAACAAAAACCAGUUCCUCCGCUCAAUUUUUCCCAGGGGUGAUGUAGGUUUAAGAUCUAGGAUUAUCUUUUUUGUCAAAGUUUACCUAUUAUACUUUGCAUAAAAUGGUGCAUGAAAAAAAAUCUGAAAAAUUCAGAUUUUUCAUAGAGAAAAAUCUGAGUCCUAGGGCUUUGCAUGUUCUAGGCAAGUGCUCACCCUCCUAGAGCUUUCUGACUGGAGUUGGGGUGGUAGUAGCUGCAGGGGAGAGAUAUGUGGCUUUGUUUAAUGAAAAAGGGGCUUCAAGGAGAUAUUCGUGUGUGAGGCAUGGGAGUCCAGAGGCAACUCAACCAGGCAUGCUCUGCAGUGUCAGAGCCACGAGUGUCCAUCUUCAUAACCACGGUAGACACAGAGGGUUAACCUGGCAUAGCCUACACUGAAGUGUUCCAGCUGCCCAGUGUGCUUUGCUGCUUGUUGCUAGGCAACACUACUGACCCUUCCUGGGCUCACAUAAGGCAGCGAGGGAAGUUGAGACAUAGUCUGUGUUCUGAGGGGCUGCAUGCAUACUUGGUCAUCUCCUAAGGAACCAGAACAAACCGCCUGAGCCGCCUGGCAGAGUCUGGCUUCCCUGAGAUGUGUUCCGGGGCUGCAGAGCCAUUCCCUGGGCAAGCGCUCUGUGAACCCUUAUUCUUAAACUGAAUCUUCAAGGGUUCAUAAUCAGUGGAUUAUGAAAUCAGAGGGUUUUCAGAGAGAAAAAUCCUCAUUACAUAAGCAGUGUCAAGCAGCUGCCCUCUUAAGUCUCUUAGCUGAAUCCGCCAGAUCUUUGUGUGCUCGAAAGGUGCGUUCCCCUCCCCCUCCCCAAGCUCUUCACUUCCCUACAUCUGCCCAAGGUUUGUCUUAGGGCUCCCUGCUCAUCCUUGCUCUUUGCUGAAGCCAUGUUUUCUAGCCAGGGUCAAGCUGUUCAUCACAUCUCUGAAGUUAGUCCAUCAGUUAUCUUGAAGCCGAGUGACUUGAUCCCUUACCCACAGACCCCUCCCUAUGUGCUUACAGCUUACGGGGACAAGGGCUGCUUUUUCAUUUCCUGCACCUACCCCUUCCUCUUCCCCAGGGCUUGUACAUGCUAGGCAAGUGCUCUACCACCGAGCCCCACUUCCAGCCCUUGGCUUUUACUUACAUUUUGAGUUUGUGUUCACCUCCCAGCUUUGAUAAACACAUUUCUUUGCACAUUAGAAGGUUUCUUAACAUUCCCAACCAGGGAUCAGCAUAGUUCUUGUAGGGAACCUUUAGCAUUUAGUACCUCCCCCCCCCCCCACCCCCGCAUCAUAGCUCUCCAACUCUGCUUGAGCUGAGGCAUAACGUAAUUUUAUGUUUAACAUAAGCAUGCAGUACUUCCAGUUUGGAAGCAUCGUCCAAAGCAGCUGUUGGAUUUAGUUUGUCAUAGUCUGCUCUUUCCUCUUAGGGGCUCUCAGUAUGCACAGUGCAGGCGCUCUACCAUUGAGCCUUGUCUCCAGCUCAGAUCCUUGUUCUGAAGUCACAGUCUUACCCUUUAGCAGCACACAAAGAGCUGGGACAACUAGAGAUUGCAGUUCCCAGUGCUGUGACUUCAGAACGCAGGCCUCAUGAAGAAGGGGCACGCCCACGAUCCCAGCGUUGGGGAGUGGAGACAAGUUCCGAGGUUCAGAGCCUUCCUCGUCUACACAGAUCACCAGCCUUUGUCAGAGACAAGCUACAAAACUACCAUUGCUUUUGUGGACAUGGAAUUGCGUUCACCCGUCUGCAGCAGUAGCCCAACCACAUGGCCCUACAGUGGUGGGCCACAGCGCCUGUAUGCACAUCCGUUCUUCGCAUACCUUCUGCACUGGAGUCGAGGCUGAAGUCCUGACUCUGUAGGAUUUUCUCCACGAUGUCAUCAGCAUCCACUCUGGUGUCAUCAACCCGCUUCAGCUGCGACUCAACAGAAUCUUGCUUCACUGGACAUCUGUGAAGAGAGCCACAGCUGAGUCUCCUCCUUUUGUAUUGAUGAUGUCAUGAGAAUAAAGAUGCUUUGUAACAUAA